rnacentral:rRNA from 1 species
UGGGGAAUCAUGGUCAAUGGGCGAAAGCCUGAACCUGCGACGCCGCGUGAGUGAUGAAGGUCGUAAGAUCGUAAAACUCUUUUCAGGGAUCUUAAAGCCUGUCUGUCAACAACAGGCAGGUCUGACUCUCCCUGGAAGAAGCACCAGCCAACUACGUGCCAGCAGCUGCGGUAAUACGUAGGGGGCGAGCGUUAUUCGGAAUUACUGGGUGUAAAGGGUAUGUAGGCGGCCCUUCAAGUCGCGUGUCAAAGUCCAGUGCGCAACGCUGGGUGUGCG